GAUGAACGCUGGCGGCGUGCCUAAUACAUGCAAGUCGAGCGAAUGGAUUAAGAGCUUGCUCUUAUGAAGUUAGCGGCGGACGGGUGAGUAACACGUGGGUAACCUGCCCAUAAGACUGGGAUAACUCCGGGAAACCGGGGCUAAUACCGGAUAACAUUUUGAACCGCAUGGUUCGAAAUUGAAAGGCGGCUUCGGCUGUCACUUAUGGAUGGACCCGCGUCGCAUUAGCUAGUUGGGGAGGUAACGGCUCACCAAGGCAACGAUGCGUAGCCGACCUGAGAGGGUGAUCGGCCAUGCUGGGACUGAGACACGGCCCAGACUCAUACGGGAGGCAGCAGUAGGGAAUCUUCCGCAAUGGACGAAGGUCUGACGGAGCAACGCCGCGUGAGUGAUGAAGGCUUUCGGGUCGUAAAACUCUGUUGUUAGGGAAGAACAAGUGCUAGUUGAAUAAGCUGGCACCUUGACGGUACCUAACCAGAAAGCCACGGCUAACUACGUGCCAGCAGCCGCCGUAA
rnacentral:rRNA from 1 species